rnacentral:ncRNA from 1 species
GACUAAAAACUAUAAACUAAUUUAUGACGAGAGGACCGGGAUGAACAAACCUCUGGUCUGCCAGCUGUUCUGCCAAGAGCAGCGCUGGGUAGCUAUGUUUGGUUCCGAUAAGCGCUGAAAGCAUAUAAGCGCGAAACGGGCCCCAAGAUUAGGUAUCGAGCGUGCGCAGCACGCAGUUUAUAAAGUUUAAAGUUUUUAAAGUUCAUAAAGUAAAAAUCCAAAUACUUUAUAACUUUACGAACUUGAUGAACUUGUAACUUGUGCGCUGCGCGCGCGAAGAUCCGUGAGAGAUGAUCACGUUGAUAGGGCUCAGGUGUACGCACAGCAAUGUGUUUAGCCGAGAGCUACUAAUAGAUC